UACGAAGGGUGCAAACGUUGCUCGGAAUUAUUGGGCGUAAAGCGCACGUAGGCGGCAUUGCAAGUCGGAUGUGAAAUCCCUCGGCUUAACCAAGGAAGUGCAUCCGAAACUGCAGUGCUUGAGUACUUAAGAGGAUCGCGGAAUUCCCGGUGUAGAGGUGAAAUUCGUAGAUAUUCGCAAGAACACCAGUGGCGAAGGCGGCCAACUGGUCCAUUACUGACGCUGAGGUGCGAAAGCGUGGGGAGCAAACAGG
rnacentral:rRNA from 1 species